rnacentral:rRNA from 1 species
GAUGAACGCUGGCGGCGUGCUUAACACAUGCAAGUCGAACGGGAAACCUUUUAAAGAAGCUUCGGCAGAUUUAGCUGGUUUCUAGUGGCGGACGGGUGAGUAACGCGUGGGUAACCUGCCUUGUACAGGGGGAUAACAGUCAGAAAUGACUGCUAAUACCGCAUAAGCGCACAGGACCGCAUGGCCCAGUGUGAAAAACUCCGGUGGUAUAAGAUGGACCCGCGUUGGAUUAGCUAGUUGGUGGGGUAACGGCCUACCAAGGCGACGAUCCAUAGCCGGCCUGAGAGGGUGAACGGCCACAUUGGGACUGAGACACGGCCCAGACUCCUACGGGAGGCAGCAGUGGGGAAUAUUGCACAAUGGGGGAAACCCUGAUGCAGCGACGCCGCGUGAAGGAAGAAGUAUCUCGGUAUGUAAACUUCUAUCAGCAGGGAAGAGAUUGACGGUACCUGACUAAGAAGCCCCGGCUA